AUAAUGAGUGAUAUGCAUUUAUUGCUAUUUACCACCAUUCACAGAGUCUAGUGAACCCAUGCCAACUGCUUCACAUCACAACCAUUCACUCCAACAAGGAAGGAAGAGAACAUACUACUACAGAGAAUUAUAACCAUUAUAAUGUCUAGGAGCUAGAAUCUUAACACUGAGCUAAGCUAAUCAUAGACACUCAACCCUAUCAAAGCAGUUCAAUAGUACAUCAAUGGGAAAAAAAAACAAAUAGGUCAUAUAAAUACUAUAUCAAUCAUUAGACAGGUCAUAUAAAUACUAGAUCAACAAUUAUUAGACAGGUCUUAUAAAUACUAGGUCAAUAAUCAUUAUGAGUUGAAUAAGUGAGCAUUUAAGCAUACAGAGCAUGUCUACAUUUGAAACAAAAUAUUUUAAAAAAUUGCAUCCUGUUCUAUGUACUAGGUAAACCUUAGCAUCAUACAAACUUUUAGAGCAUAAAUAUCAACAGUUUUACACUAGUGAAAUGAUCCGACCUUUAAUACACAAGAGCUAGAACUACCCCAAACAAAUGAUUAAGUUACACUGGGAUGCAUUGACUGCUAAAUGUUUUCCUUAGAUCUAGAAUCAAAGAGAUGCACGAGAUGCAAUAAUGACAGUCUAGUUAGCAUCAAGAUGAGACAAACACAGUGUCAGAAGUGAGACAACUACCAGAGUUGAGAACUAACACUCAAUCCCAAACUAGUGAAUAGACAUGAUUGACCACCACCCUCAGAUAACAUAGACAGUUAAAGUAUUAACUAGAUAUCUUUAUAACAAUAGCACACACAAAAACUAUAUACAUUUUCAUAUUCUAUUUUAGUACAUAAAUUCAAACAUAGAGCUUCAAUGAAUUCACUCAUAAGUGUUUGUAGCUAGAUCUAGUGUUUGUUCAAAGUUUCUCUUAGAGCAAGUUGAAAUUUAAGUUGCAAACAAACACAUCAGUGAAGAAAAAGGUCAAGGACACAAUUUAUUAAUAUCAGAAAAGGAACAAAUAAGAAAAAAAACAACAAGAAGCCUGGUAAAUAUCACAGAAAAUACUUUCUUCGAAGAGCCAUCAACUUUCUGAACCAACACAAAUUUACAUGCAAAGAAAAGAAAAAAAUAUAUAUAUAAAAUCUGCCACUGUAUAAUCUCCAAUGCAGAACUCAACAAGCUGACCUACCCAGACAUUGACAGAAACAAAGUUCAGAACUCAACAAGCUGACCUACCCAGACAUUGGCAGAAACAAAGUUCAGAACUCAACAAGCUGACCUAC